UACGUAGGGGGGCAAGCGUUGUCCGGAUUUAUUGGGCGUAAAGAGCGUGUAGGCGGCCAGAUAGGUCAGCUGUGAAAACUCGAGGCUCAACCUCGAGACGCCGGUUGAAACCAUCUGGCUAGAGUCCGGAAGAGGAGAGUGGAAUUCCUGGUGUAGCGGUGAAAUGCGCAGAUAUCAGGAGGAACACCAAUAGCGAAGGCAGCUCGCUGGGACGGUAUUGACGCUAAGGCGCGAAAGCGUGGGGAGCAAACAGG
rnacentral:rRNA from 1 species